rnacentral:rRNA from 1 species
GACGAACGCUGGCGGCGUGCUUAACACAUGCAAGUCGAACGAUGAAGCUAGAGCUUGCUCUGGUGGAUUAGUGGCGAACGGGUGAGUAACACGUGAGUAACCUGCCCCGAACUCUGGGAUAACUGCUGGAAACGGUAGCUAAUACCGGAUAUGACCAAUGAAGGCAUCUUCUGUUGGUGGAAAGAAUUUCGGUUCGGGAUGGACUCGCGGCCUAUCAGCUUGUUGGUGAGGUAACGGCUCACCAAGGCGACGACGGGUAGCCGGCCUGAGAGGGUGAUCGGCCACACUGGGACUGAGACACGGCCCAGACUCCUACGGGAGGCAGCAGUGGGGAAUAUUGCACAAUGGGCGCAAGCCUGAUGCAGCGACGCCGCGUGAGGGAAGACGGCCCUCGGGUUGUAAACCUCUUUCAGCACCGACGAAGCGCAAGUGACGGUAGGUGCAGAAGAAGGACCGGCCAACUACGUGCCAGCAGCCGCCGUAA